ACAAAACGGAGAAAUACAAUGCUGAAGAUGGGGUGAGUAAUCACAUCCCUAUUCAGAUGAGGCUGCAGCAAAGUGGAAGACAAACAAUCGCAAGAUGGGUCAAGGCUACUUUCUGCAGAGAAGGGCAUGUGAUAUUAUCUGAUGAGAGACAUGUGAUUGUUCCUUCUUUCCAGCAGCAAGUAAGCCAGAUGGGUUUGAUGAACUUGGAAAAAUGGAAACGUUACCAAGGCUUUCCUGUGGGCUACUUAAUCAUUUUAAAAUCCUUUCUGAGGGACAGCUAGCAAUGAAUGUAUAUGCAGAUGAAUCUAUGGGUUAUGGAAAUGAAGGCAUUGUCCCUAGAGGUAAAGAUCAGACGGAGACCUCAGGUCAAAAAUGCUACCAACACCUGCAAGCAGAAGAUCAGAUGCAGGACUUUCAAUCUUUACUCUCUGAAGAUUUUUCCCCUUUCUUCCUGAGGUGGAACAAAAGUAUGUGGUAUACUAACUAAAGAGUGCAAGGGACUCUGCUCUGGUGUUGGAAGACAUUUUAAUUUUAAAAGAAUUACAUUCCUUUGAAAAACUCCUUUGUUAUGGCAUGUCCUUCCAUGGAAAGGGAUUUUUGAGAUUAGAGUUUUCAUUUUAAAGUGUUUCACAGGGAUAUUUUGAAUGGCAGACACAUGCUUCAAAUCUAGGGGGUGGGGGAGGGUAUGCAGUGACUAGCCACAUCACUGGUUAUCUCAAAACUAGGCAAAGAGAGGUGAAGUGUAUGAAGACCAAAGCAACAAUCCAACUUACAUAUGCCUCUCUGGCGCUCCAUCCCCAGAAAGAAGGUGGAGGACCAAGACUAAAAUCAUUAAAUCCCUUCUAAUAAAGGGAAUGUACUCACAAGAAGAUGUUUAACC
rnacentral:lncRNA from 1 species